AAGGUGGAUUUAUUAGUAAUUAUGUUUUAUUAUUAUAUGAUGAAAUAUGAAAUAACAUGUGUACAUAUUGCCCGUCGCUCUCAUUUUUUUUGAGAUAAGUCGUAACAUAGUUGAUGUACUGGAAAGUAUAUCUUUUUGG
rnacentral:rRNA from 1 species